AUGCAAAUUCACAUGAGUCUCGACAUCACAGCUGCUAAGAAGAACAAGAGCAAAAUUGCUCUCCACAACCUCAUCAUGGCAGUAGACUACAAGACCGCAUAUUGGAUCAUGAGCAAUGACAAUGACAAGAUUGAAAAGAAGGAGCCUAUGAUGAGCGCAACCAUCAAGAAGAGGAAGAGCAUACCCACAUUGAGGAAAAGAAGUUUGUUCAGUAACAAGCGAAUCAAGCGCAUGCAGCUCUUCGUUCCCAACAACAUCUAUAUGAAGAACAUGAAUGCCAAGAACAUGAUGAAAUACAAGAAGCACAUGAGGCAAGACAAGAAGAAGAGCAAGGAGGAGGGAGAGGUUGUGGAAGAGGGAUCCAACAGCAGCACGAUGGCGUGGUGGUGGUGGAGUUGCAGUACUCCGGCAGGGCUUCGCCAAGCUCUUGCGGAGGAGGAGAGGGAGCUUCAAGAAGCUGUCGACGUUCUUGCUGGCGCGGACCUGCAGACCAUGGCGAACGCCGCGGGCUUGGUGAGCAGCGCCGCCGCCAGGGCGGCUUUGGAGGCAUAUUUGCAAGGGGUGGAUCUUGUAGUGACUUGUAGGAAUCUGGAGGUGGCAGCACGCGAGCUGAGCUUGGCGGUGGCGGCGGCGGCGGCCGACUCACAGGGCAGAGAUGAGAGCAGAUGCAAAUGGAUCCUGUGGCUGAAGAAGGACAGGAGGAAUGCAGAUGUGGUCGACGACGGCCGCCUAGGGCAAGCGCUUCUUCACCAUAAGGCCUGGCCGGUGUCGAACUCGCUCUCCACUGCGUCAAGACCGGAGGAGAACCUGGCAGAGUUCCUGAGCUACGCGCUGUUUGGAUCCUUGACCUUACUGCCCUACUUGGACCCCGCGGGACCGGUGAUGAAGACGCUGUCCAAGACCGGCAAGCUGAUCUUCCAUGUCGCCUUCUCUGUGGUUUGGGCCGCGGUUGGUGUAGCUGUCGCUUGCAGGCAGUGCCGCGGUUCUGCGCUCAUGCUCCGUUUUGCUGAUGUUGCCAGCCACAUUGGCAUGGCUGGCAUUACUGCCCUUGUGAUUUGGUACAGCCACGUCCUGAUAGCACCGGAUGCUCCUGUGACUUCCUACGUCAUCUUGGGCUUCGCUUGCAUUCUGCAGAUCAUUGCUUGGGCCUGGGAUCGCAAAUGGAUCGGAGGCGCAGCGUAG
rnacentral:rRNA from 1 species